rnacentral:rRNA from 1 species
AGCCGCCGCGGUAACACCGGCAGCUCUAGUGGUAACAAUUUUAUUGGGCCUAAAGCGUCCGUAGCCGGUUUAAUAAGUCUCUGGUGAAAUCCUGUAGCUUAACUGUGGGAAUUGCUGGAGAUACUAUUAGACUUGAGACCGGGAGAGGUUAGAGGUACUCCCAGGGUAGAGGUGAAAUUCUGUAAUCCUGGGAGGACCGCCUGUUGCGAAGGCGUCUAACUGGAACGGUUCUGACGGUGAGGGACGAAAGUUAGGGGCGCGAACCGGAUUAGAUACCCGGGUAGUCCUAACUGUAAACGAUGCGGACUUGGUGUUGGGUGGCUUUGAGCUGCUCCAGUGCCGAAGGGAAGCUGUUAAGUCCGCCGCCUGGGAAGUACGGUCGCAAGACUGAAACUUAAGGAAUUGGCGGGGGAGCACCACAACGCGUGGAGCCUGCGGUUUAAUUGGAUUCAACGCCGGACAUCUCACCAGAGGCGACAGCUGUAUGAUAGCCAGGUUGAUGACUUUGCUUGACUAGCUGAGUAGUGGUGCAUGG